AUGGAGAAUAUAUCUCUAACUUGUACGAUUUAAAGUUGAUAUAUCUCUUUUUAAACAAGUGAAACAUGUAUAACCUCGAUAUUAUUUACAGAUAGAUGUUUCUAUUUACUUACAAUAUGGCAUAAACACACUAGGGUCUUUAGUUCAAGCUGAGACCAAAACAUCCAUCCUAAUGAGAAGCCAGCCAAGUGAUGCGUCUAGUGGACCCAUUUCGCCUAUGGAUGCAAGGAGAUUACGUGAUGAUAGUGAUCCUACUGACAGUCGUUGAUUUCGUUGUAAAUUGUCUUGAAUAUUCAAUUAUGAUGAUGUAAUUGUGUGGUCGGAGUGAAUCUUAGAAUAUUAAAGUUUUUGUGUUUAAAUUUGAUUUUGGAGUUUGAAGAUACUAGUUAAUGUUGAAAAUUUGGAGUCUGAAGA